GACCCAAGGGUUCUCAGCCUUAUUUCUGCCUCUCCCGUCUCUGAUUUACUUUCAUUUUCUGUAUCGGUUUCUCAAAAAAUACUUUCUUGAUUUUUUCAUCAUCCCUUUUCCCACCCUACCCCCGGUUCCUCUUUCCACAUUAUAAUCUAUGACUGCUUCUCUCACCUAACUGCCAGUAUUAGCUUUUCAGGACAGGAACUGGUUUUACACAUUUUGGUAUUCCAGCAUCUAGCAUAAUGCCUGACACUUAGCUGAAUAAAGGGAGUAAAUAGAUUUGUAAAGUCAGCAAAUGCUUUUUAAUUUGUGAAUCUUAUUUUAAUGAUGAUCUGAUUUUCUUUUUACAGGAACUAUAUAAAGUUCAGAAAACAUGUCUCGAAGAUAUGACUCCAGGACCACUAUAUUUUCUCCAGAAGGUAAAAUAGAAAUUGUUUAAUCUGCCUCAAGUUUAAAAAUAGAUGUGUUAGACUUUUAGAAAAAAAAAUUACAAACUAUUUUUGGUAGUUGCAGAGUUCAUCUUUUUUGUACUUUGAAGCAAUUAUGGUCACCAGGUUGGUUAUACCAUAGAAGAG
rnacentral:sRNA from 1 species